CGGAGGGGGCUAGCGUUGUUCGGAAUUUACUGGGCGUAAAGCGCACGUAGGCGGCUUUGCAAGUUAGAGGUGAAAGCCCGGGGCUCAACCCCGGAAUUGCCUUUUAAGACUGCAGAGCUAGAAUCCGGGAGAGGUGAGUGGAAUUCCGAGUGUAGAGGUGAAAUUCGUAGAUAUUCGGAAGAACACCAGUGGCGAAGGCGGCUCGACUGGACCGGCAUUGACGCUGAGGUGCGAAAGCGUGGGGAGCAAACAGGAUU
rnacentral:rRNA from 1 species